rnacentral:lncRNA from 1 species
AAGUAUAACAUCAUAUUUCUGAUGGCAUCAAUUUUUUUGCCUUUUUGUCUCAAUGAUAAUAGGCUGUGGCUCUACAUCCAAAAUAGCUAAACAAGAAGCUUCAGGUUCCCUUCUUCCACAUGUCUCCAUUUGUACAUGAACACACUUAGAAAGAAAGUUAUUUAUCCAUGAUCAAAGGUAAGAAAUGACAGCCAGAUCUAGAACCCUGGUCCCCACUUCUGUCCUAUCAUUCUUUCCACCUCAUCACAUUGCCCCCCAAUGUUUCUGAACUUUAGACAUAGUAAUCCAUUUAUGUUACCAAAACUUCUUUCUCAUUUCAGGAUCUCAUCUCCUGCUGGUACACUCACAGAAAAGAAUAUUUACUGAGAGUAUCUUUGUCUUUAAAACCAAGGACAAAGUGCUUCAAACAGCUAACCCUGAAGCAAGUCAUGCCCAAGAUGUGCGUUCCCUGCACCACUGCCUUGAGCCACUCCAAAUGCCACAUGUCCUCCUUGCCCAUCUAAUUUUCCACGUAAAUAUCAUCAGCCACCAUCAGGCACACUGAGUGAGAGCUUGAGACAACAGUGAGGGUCAUGAAAACAAGGCCUGAAGGUGAGGGACAGCUUCAAUCUCAAGUCAUGAUGAAGCAAAUAUCAUUAUUGAGAAGUUUUAAAUAAAGAUAUGCUUCAACAAGAAUUAUCCUG